AGGGGAAAACGGAACUGCCGGUGUAGCGGUGAAAUGCGUAGAUAUCGGCAGGAACACCUGUGGCGAAGGCGGUUUUCUACUCUGGUACUGACGCUCAUGGACGAAAGCGUGGGGAGCGAUCGGGAUUAGAUACCCCGGUAGUCCACGCCGUAAACGAUGGGUGCUGGGUGUCGGUCCGGUAAAACGGAUCGGUGCCGAAGUUAACACGUUAAGCACCCCACCUGGGGACUACGGCCGCAAGGCUGAAACUCAAAGGAAUUGACGGGGGCCCGCACAAGCGGAGGAACAUGUGGUUUAAUUCGAUGAUACGCGAGGAACCUUACCUGGGCUUAAAUGUGGAGUGCAUUGGUGAGAAAUCAUCAUUUUCUUCGGAACUCUCUGCAAGGUGCUGCAUGGUUGUCGUCAGCUCGUGCCGUGAGGUGUCGGGUUAAGUCCCAUAACGAGCGCAACCCUUAUCGUUAGUUGCCAGCGGGUCAAGCCGGGGACUCUAGCGAAACUGCCGGUGUAAACCGAGAGGAAGGUGGGGAUGACGUCAAAUCAGCACGGCCCUUAUGUCCAGGGCUACACACGUGUUACAAUGGCCGGUACAGAGGGCAGCUACCUGGAGACAGGAUGCGAAUCUCGAAAGCCGGUCUCAGUUCGGAUCGGAGUCUGCAACUCGACUCCGUGAAGCUGGAUUCGCUAGUAAUCGCGCAUCAGCCACGGCGCGGUGAAUACGUUCCCGGGCCUUGUACACACCGCCCGUAAGGGC
rnacentral:rRNA from 1 species